rnacentral:rRNA from 1 species
GGAGGAUCAUUACUAGAGCAAAGGAUAGACAGCGCCCGCGGAGCUCGCUCCCGGGGCUACCCUACUCCCGUAGGGUUUAGAGUCGUCGGGCCUCUCGGAGAAGCUCGGUCCUGAACUCCACCCUUGAAUAAACUACCUUUGUUGCUUUGGCGGGCCGCCUCGUGCCAGCGGCUUCGGCUGUUGAGUGCCCGCCAGAGGACCCCAACUCUUGUUUUUAGUGAUGUCUGAGUACUAUAUAAUAGUUAAAACUUUCAACAACGGAUCUCUUGGUUCUGGCAUCGAUGAAGAACGCAGCGAAAUGCGAUAAGUAAUGUGAAUUGCAGAAUUCAGUGAAUCAUCGAAUCUUUGAACGCACAUUGCGCCCUCUGGUAUUCCGGGGGGCAUGCCUGUUCGAGCGUCAUUAUAACCACUCAAGCUCUCGCUUGGUAUUGGGGUUCGCGGUUUCGCGGCCCCUAAAAUCAGUGGCGGUGCCUGUCGGCUCUACGCGUAGUAAUACUCCUCGCGAUUGAGUCCGGUAGGUCUACUUGCCAGCAACCCCUAAUUUUUUUAAGGUUGACCUCGGAUCAGGUAGGGAUACCCGCUGAACUUAAGCAUAUCAA